ensembl:piRNA 21ur-2915 ncRNA
GUUGGCGUUUUUCAACCAUUU